AGACUCUCUGACAGGGCAUCAUCUAUCAGGAACUCCAGGAGCUCUCUGAUGACUUUGACUGUGUCAUCGUUGGAGCUCACUAGAUGAUAUGGAAUGAAUUCAGAUUAAAGCUCAUAUUAAUGUGAAUUCCUGCUUUUAUAUUCACUAAACGUGUUACUAUCAUCUCACUAUCUGGUGAUUUCCUUUACUUACCCAGAUGUUCCUCUAGAGUGUCCUCCACAGUCUCGGCCAGAGGCUGGAGACUCUCUGACAGGGCAUCAUCUAUCAGGAUCUCCAGGAGCUCUCUGAUGACUUUGACUGUGUCAUCAUUGGAGCUCACUAGAUGAUAUGGAAUGAAUUCAGAUUAAAGCUCAUAUUAAUGUGAAUUCCUGCUUUUAUAUUCACUAAAUGUGUUACUAUCAUCUCACUAUCUGGUGAUUUCCUUUACUUACCCAGAUGUUCCUCUAGAGUGUCCUCCACAGUCUCGGCCAGAGGCCGGAGACUCUCUGACAGGGCAUCAUCAAAGAGGAUCUCCAGGAGCUCUCUGAUGACUUUGACUGUGUCAUCGUUGGAGCUCACUGGAUGAUCUUGAAUGAAUUCAGAGAGAUAAGAGCUCAUGUUUAGCUUUGAUAUGGACUAAAUGUGUUGUUUUCAUCCCACUAUCCUCUCAUUUUCCUUACUUACCUCGAUGUUUCUCCUCACACUCCUCCGGAACGAUGUUCAUGGUGUUGGUGGCUUCAUGAGCCACUGCAAUCUGCGCAGUCUCAGCUUCUGUUUUCAUAAAAACACAGUCAGUUGUAACGGACACUGAAUAUUAUUCAGUCUGGAAAUGAUUUCAAAAACACCCUCUUAUUUUCCAGAUAUUACUCAAACGAUUCCGUAUGAAUUAUGAAUUUUUCCAUAUUUCAUAUGAAUUCAGGAUUUACUAUGAAUGUCAUGUACUGAGAAUUACUCAGUCACUGCUGUGAACGUUCCGUGAUGGUUCUGAAAUAUUCUUUACCUCCUAUGAUUUAUUCAAUCUGAAUAAAUGUGGAUUAUACGGCA